GGCAGCAUGGUGCAGUGGUUUGAGUGUUGGACUAGGACUCUGGAGACCAGGGUUUGAAUCCCCACUGAGCCA
rnacentral:tRNA from 1 species